rnacentral:rRNA from 1 species
GACGAACGCUGGCGGCGUGCUUAACACAUGCAAGUCGAACGCUGAAGCCUAGCUUGCUGGGUGGAUGAGUGGCGAACGGGUGAGUAACACGUGAGUAACCUGCCCUCUUCUUUGGGAUAACGCCCGGAAACGGGUGCUAAUACUGGAUAUUCACUGAUCUUCGCAUGGGGGUUGGUGGAAAGGUUUUUUCUGGUGGGGGAUGGGCUCGCGGCCUAUCAGCUUGUUGGUGGGGUGAUGGCCUACCAAGGCUUUGACGGGUAGCCGGCCUGAGAGGGUGACCGGUCACAUUGGGACUGAGAUACGGCCCAGACUCCUACGGGAGGCAGCAGUGGGGAAUAUUGCACAAUGGGCGAAAGCCUGAUGCGGCGACGCCGCGUGAGGGAUGGAGGCCUUCGGGUUGUAAACCUCUUUCGCUCAUGGUCAAGCCGCAACUUAGGGUUGUGGUGAGGGUAGUGGGUAAAGAAGCGCCGGCUAACUACGUGCCAGCAGCCGCGGUAAUACGUAGGGCGCGAGCGUUGUCCGGAAUUAUUGGGCGUAAAGGGCUUGUAGGCGGUUGGUCGCGUCUGCCGUGAGAUCCUCUGGCUUAACUGGGGGCGUGCGGUGGGUACGGGCUGACUUGAGUGCGGUAGGGGAGACUGGAACUCCUGGUGUAGCGGUGGAAUGCGCAGAUAUCAGGAAGAACACCGGUGGCGAAGGCGGGUCUCUGGGCCGUUACUGACGCUGAGGAGCGAAAGCGUGGGGAGCGAACAGG